rnacentral:lncRNA from 1 species
UUUUUUUUUUUAAGUCUUUUCUCCUUCCAGGUUUCAAACAUGAAUACUGAGUAUCUUGAUUCUCUCCUCUCCCACUACCCCUGGCUGUCCCCAACAUGUCCCUCUCCUACCUUCCUUUCCUCUCAGAUUUCUCUUCUUUAUUUCCUUCUUUCCUUCCUGUAUUCAUUCCCCCCACCCUUCCUUCUCUUUUUUUAACCCAGAAAGCGCAGUUGCUGCUGCCUGCCAUGUCUGGAAGUCAUCUCACAGUACCCUCCUUUGGCCUUUACAUUCUUUUCUUUCCCUCUUCCAUAGUCAUGUCUCCUGAGCUUUAGAGAGUGGUGUGUCUUCUUUAGGGCAGAGCACUCACAGUCCCUUUCUCAGCACCUAACUGGGUGCUGCAUUGACUGCAGAAAGAGACUUCCCUGGUCAAGGUUGAAAGCAGCACUUACCUGUGGCUAUAAGCAUGACUAAUUCAGAAGGCAGUUUGUCCAUCUAGCAGAACAGCAGUGCCAGGUUCUUCUCCUGUCACUCCCAAGGCCUUAGUGACCACUGCUCAUCCCUGACCACUCUCCCAUCCUCUGCCCAGAGCCUCAAGCCUUUGACCUGCUCUGUUCAACCAGAAAGUGGUUGGUUGACAUCAUAACCUUCAUGGGCUGUUGUUCCAGUAGACAUACCUUGUCAAGCUGGUUGGUACUCUUGUUCAAGAUUCGCUGCUGGAUAAAACCAUUGAUGACGUUUCUCCUCCAAUGGUCCAAAGCACUCUAUGGUGUUAUGAAAGCUAGCCAGCAGAGGAGAAAUUUUGAAUCAAUUCCAUCUUGAUUUCUCUAAUGUCCAACCAAAGUGUGCUGUCGUUUCAGCAGUAGUCUUACAGUCUAGCUCUUGGGCAACUAAUGACUUGACUUGCUUGCAUUGUUUGGGGGCCUCCCUGACUAACAAAUCAUGGCAAGUAUCUCAUGCCAGGGUGUGUGUGUGUGUGUUUUGUUUUUAAUAAUUCCUGGGUAAUAUUCCACAGAAUAGUCAAUAUUGCUGUUAAACUGCCUGUCCACCCAUUAAAGAACAUCAUAGUUAUUUGAGUUCAAAGCUUACCAUGAUAAAAACUGUAUGUUCGUGUUUAUGUGAACAUACUUUUUCACUUCUCCAAAUGUUCAAUAAAGUCAUUUUGGUGAUAAAAUAGUAUGUCACUGUGGGGCCUCUACCACAGUUUCUGUAGGUCAUAGUUUCUAGAUAGAAUUUUAAUAGGUCUUCUCAGUAUUUCUAUAGUUUUAAAUAUUACCUAGAUGAUGGUCUUUAGGGAAAUUAUAUUUUUUCAGUAUUGAUUUCUAGACAUUUACGUAAGUACCAAAUACAGUUUAAGCAUUUCCUUUAAAUUUUUUUAGAGUUAUUUAUCUAAGUAGAUAUAAUUUUGAAGUGUUUCACGUCCUGAAAAGAAACUCCACACACACAGUAGGCACUUUCCAUUCUACCUCCAUUCCUCUCACAUCCCGCCCCACCCCCACCCACCCCCUGCCCCUGGCAGCCACGUUUGUACUUUGUGUUUCUUCAGUCAGGUUCUGGGCAUUGAAUGGAAUGGGAUAGCUUUUUGUGUGUUGGGCUAAGUAACACAUGCCAUGUUUUUCUGUCCCAUCUUGUCACAGCACACUUUGUUGAUUUGUUGUUUGACUCUUGAGUUGCUUUAACUUUGGGCUGAUAGAAUAAGAUAUCAUAGAUUUUCAUCCUCUCAAGUGAAUGUCUAAAAUUGCCGGGCAACGUGAAGUUCUGUGUUGUUCCAAGGACUUCUUAAACUGUUUUCCAUAGCACAUACACCAUUACACAGCGGCACUGGACUGGAGGGUCUGAGUCCGGCAGCCCAUAGUUUCUAUAGGUAGAAUUUCCAGAUAGAAUUAUUUCCAGAUAAAAUGUUAAUAGCUCUUCUCAGUAUUUCUGCACUUCUAAAUAUUUCCUAGAUGAUGGUCUUUAGAGAACUUGUAAUACGCAUCUGCUUUUAUUUCUUUAGUAUUGGUUUCUAGGCGUUUACAUAAAUACCAAAAAAAGUUGAAGCAUUUAACCAGAGGCAGGUAUAUCUCUGGACAUUUGAGCCAGCCUGGUCUAUAUAGUGAGCUCCAGGCCAGUCAGGGUUGCAUAGUAAGACCCUGUCUCAAACAACAGAACAACAAACCGAACAACCACAAAACCUCACAAAUAUCCCAGGUUCCCCAACAACAACAAAUAUCCCAGUGCCAAUACCCGUUACUACCUGCCUUCAGUAUAACUUACCAUGGUGGCUCUUACAUGGGCCUGAGCUGUUGCAGCAACAAUGCUUGGCUGGCCUCCUUGGUGCUAACAACCACAGUGACUCUGCUUUUGUUCAGAGUUCCCUGUGAACCCAAUUGACUGCCUCAGGCUUGCUGUGUAAGAAGGGGGGAGAAUUGUGGGUGUCCCCCCCCCCAAGAAGAAUUGCUGCUGUUGUGACAUAGAAUAGCAUUGAAAACUUUUAAAAUUUAAGAUGGAAAAGUCUUCUGUUUUAAAAAUAGUUCAGACCCUGCUUUUUGGCUUAAAGAACUAACAGCCAGGGGCUUCUCAUAGAACUUCACAUCAACUAGGGGAGUCUGCAGGAGAGAUGGCUGUGCUGUGCAAUGCAUGCUGGGUAUGUGCCAUAAAUGUGGGGCGGGGCAGUAUUAGGACACCUAAGAAUUAAUGUCUGUGGUGGUAGAGUUUGGUUUCAUUUGGAGAGAUGGUUGGAACAGAAGUGGUCCUCCUUCCUCUUGGCUGGUAAAAUUACAGCAAACAAGGAAAUGUGCCAGAAUCUGUUGGGAUAAAAACCAGCGUGUCCUUGCGCCUGCUGUCUAGGCUUUGUCAGUGUAAUAUGAUACAUGGAUGGGAUGGGUGUAUAAGCAUCAGCAGCUGUAACUGUAAGCUAGGACGUGGACAUUUAUUUGUUAGAUUCAGAGGCCCAUUUAGAGAGCUUUUACCAGAGGAAUGAUCCUGAACUUCUAGGGAUGGCUUCCAGACAUCUGUGCUUGAAGGUUCUGGGUGAUUGUGAGUACAGCCAGGUUUGAAAAGUUAUUGCUAGGAAACUGUGUGACUCCAGGAGGACAAGUGUGUCCUCACUUGUCCAAGCUUAACACGGGCAGUCACAUUCACAUCCAGGUUCUCUCUAAAGGUACAGGUGUGAACUCCAGAGGUGUCACUCUUGAAGAGCUUAGACCUAAUCAGAAUUGUGGACAAAUGAACAGAUAGUUGUAUUUUAACUAAUAAUUACAUUUUA